UACGUAGGUGGCGAGCGUUGUCCGGAUUUACUGGGCGUAAAGGGCGUGCAGGCGGUUUGUUAAGUGCAGGGUGAAAGCUCCCGGCUCAACUGGGAGAGGUCCUUGCAUACUGGCGAACUCGAGGGAGGCAGAGGAAAGUGGAAUUCCCGGUGUAGUGGUGAAAUGCGCAGAUAUCAGGAGGAACACCGGUGGCGAAGGCGGAUCUCUGGGCCUUACCUGACGCUCAGGCGCGAAAGCUAGGGGGGCGAACUGG
rnacentral:rRNA from 1 species